GCCUUCGUGGUGUAAUGGCCAGUACACUCGGCCCGUAUUCGAGAGGUUCGCGGUUCGAACCCCGGCGAGGGCA
rnacentral:tRNA from 1 species